rnacentral:lncRNA from 1 species
GCCAAGAAAUAAAUAGAGGAAUGCUGAAUUCUCAACACCAGAAAGUUCCCUGAUGUCAAUUUUGUACUGAAUAUCUACCUACAAAGGCUGCCUCAAUGUGAAACUGGUGGAGGCCUUCAUGCUAGCUAUCAUCCUCAUUUGCUGCUAUUCCCAUUGUGAAUUCUGUGGAAAGGGUUGCAGAUCCCUUUAGCUCCUUGGCUACAUGAAACUCAAGAAGAAUGAAGACUGAAGUGUGGACACUAUGCCCCUCCUUAGAU